GGCCGGGUAGUGCGCAUUGAUACAAGACCCGAAAGGGAAAAAAUGCGGGCCGUCUGUGAGCGGUGGUCAAAGUACCCGGCCGCCCCUUG
rnacentral:ncRNA from 1 species